AACGAACGCUGGCGGCGCGCCUAAUACAUGCAAGUCGAGCGAGAAGACGUAGCAAUACGUUUGUAAAGCGGCGAACGGGUGAGGAAUACAUGGGUAACCUACCCUCGAGUGGGGAAUAACUAGCCGAAAGGUUAGCUAAUACCGCGUACGCUCCUUGGACUUCGGUUCAGGGAGGAAAGCGAUACCGUGGGUAUCGCGCUCUUGGAUGGGCUCAUGUCCUAUCAGCUUGUUGGUGAGGAACGGCUCACCAAGGCUUCGACGGGUAGCUGGUCUGAGAGGACGAUCAGCCACACUGGCACUGCGACACGGGCCAGACUCCUACGGGAGGCAGCAGUAAGGAAUAUUGCGCAAUGGGCGAAAGCCUGACGCAGCGACGCCGCGUGGGGGAGUGAAGGUCUUCGGA
rnacentral:rRNA from 1 species